UACGUAGGGCGCAAGCGUUGUCCGGAAUUAUUGGGCGUAAAGAGCUCGUAGGCGGCUUGUCACGUCGGGUGUGAAAGCCCGGGGCUUAACCCCGGGUCUGCAUUCGAUACGGGCUAGCUAGAGUGUGGUAGGGGAGAUCGGAAUUCCUGGUGUAGCGGUGAAAUGCGCAGAUAUCAGGAGGAACACCGGUGGCGAAGGCGGAUCUCUGGGCCAUUACUGACGCUGAGGAGCGAAAGCGUGGGGAGCAAACGGG
rnacentral:rRNA from 1 species